CAUCACUACGCUAGAUGCAUAUCAAUAAGCGGAGGAAAAGAAACUAACAAGGAUUCCCCUAGUAACGGCGAGUGAAGCGGGAAGAGCUCAAAUUUGAAAUCUUAAAAGGUUUUCCUUUUACGAAUUGUAGUUUAAAGAAGUGUUUUCUGUUGAAGUUUUGGUACAAGUUCUUUGGAAUAGGACAUCAUAGAGGGUGAGAAUCCCGUAUUUGACCUUAAUUUUUCAACUUUGUGAUACACUUUCAAAGAGUCGGAUUGUUUGGGAAUGCAGUCCAAAAUGGGUGGUAAAUUUCAUCUAAGGCUAAAUAUUGGCGAGAGACCGAUAGCGAACAAGUACCGUGAGGGAAAGAUGAAAAGAACUUUGAAAAGAGAGUUAAAUAGUACGUGAAAUUGUCAAAAGGGAAGCGUUUGGCACCAGUGUUGUUUUUCUAAAAAUCAAUUUAAAAUUUGCUUAUGUUAAGUGUUUUAGACUUAAUCGGCUAUACAUUUAAUUCUUUGUAAAUUUUGAAUGCACUUUUUAGUUAACAAGUCAACAUCAAUUUUUUUUUGCUGUAAAAGAAUAAGAGGAAGGUGGCUUGAGAUUCGUUUCAAGUGUUUAUAGCCUCUUAUUCCAUGCAAUAGGAGGGAUUGAGGUCUGCAGCAUAGAUCCUUCGGGGCUAGAUGCUUUUGUGCUAGAAGCUAGUAUUAUAUAGACAACUUGUUGAUUAUGUAAUAUAUUAGUUUCUACUCGCUUAAAGUUAUUUUACCUACGCUUAGGAUGUUGACUGAUAUGUAGUCGUA
rnacentral:rRNA from 1 species